CCUACGGGGGGCAGCAGUGGGGAAUUUUGCGCAAUGCUCGUAAGAGUGACGCAGCGACGCCGCGUGAAUGACGAAGGCCUUCGGGUCGUAAAGUUCUUUCGACAGGGAAGAAAAUGCCUAUAAGUAACUGUGUAUGUAUUGACGGUACCUGUAUAAGCAGCCCCGGCUAACUCCGUGCCAGCAGCCGCGGUAAUACGGAGGGGGCGAGCGUUGUUCGGAGUGACUGGGCGUAAAGAGCACGUAGGCGGUGUUGUAAGUCAUUAGUCAAAGACUAGAGCUCAACUUUAGUAAGGCUAGUGAUACUAUAAUACUAGAGUAUCAGAGAGGAUUGCAGAAUUCCUGGUGUAGCGGUGAAAUGCGUAGAUAUCAGGAGGAAUACCGUUAGCGAAGGCGGCAAUCUGGCUGGAAACUGACGCUGAGGUGCGAAAGCGUGGGUAGCA
rnacentral:rRNA from 1 species